CCUACGGGUGGCAGCAGUGAGGAAUAUUGGUCAAUGGACGAGAGUCUGAACCAGCCAAGUAGCGUGAAGGAUGACUGCCCUACGGGUUGUAAACUUCUUUUAUAUGGGAAUAAAACGUCCCACGUGUGGGAUUUUGUAUGUACCAUAUGAAUAAGGACCGGCUAAGUCCGUGCCAGCAGCCGCGGUAAUACGGAGGAUCCGGGCGUUAUCCGGAUUUAUUGGGUUUAAAGGGAGCGUAGGUGGAUUGUUAAGUCAGUUGUGAAAGUUACGGGCUCAACCGUGAAAUUGAAGUUGAAACUGGCGGUCGUGAGUACGGUAGAGGUGGGCGGAAUUCGUGGUGUAGCGGUGAAAUGCUUAGAUAUCACGAAGAACUCCGAUUGCGAAGGCAGUUCACUGGACUGGAACUGACGCUGAGGCUCGAAAGUGUGGGUAUCAAACAGGAUUAGAUACCCGUGUAGUC
rnacentral:rRNA from 1 species